UAGGGAAUCUUCGGCAAUGGACGGAAGUCUGACCGAGCAACGCCGCGUGAGUGAAGAAGGUUUUCGGAUCGUAAAGCUCUUUUGUUAGAGAAGAACGUUGGUAGGAGUGGAAAAUCUACCAAGUGACGGUAACUAACCAGAAAGGGACGGCUAACUACGUGCCAGCAGCCGCGGUAAUACGUAGGUCCCGAGCGUUGUCCGGAUUUAUUGGUCGUAAAGCGUGCUCAGGCGGUUCUUUAAGUCUGAAGUUAAAGGCAGUGGCUUAAAAAUUGUACGCGUUGGAAACGGGAGGACUGGAGUGGAGAAGGGGAGAGUGGAAUUCCAUGUGUAGCGGUGAAAUGCGUAGAUAUAUGGAGGAACACCGGUGGCGAAAGCGGCUGUCUGGUCUGUAACUGACGCGGAGGCUCGAAAGCGUGGGGAGCAAACAGG
rnacentral:rRNA from 1 species